rnacentral:lncRNA from 1 species
ACCAUACGAGAGAUCACUUUUAUUUCUAUUCGAUCGUCAGUGAUUAUCUCGAUACUAUAGUUAUGUGAAUGAUCCUUUGACAUGAGAUGGUAUUACUGCUCGCAAUGAGGCUGUUGAGUUUGACUGACACAUAAAUAUGAAUCUCAAUGAGUCUUUAUAGUGGAUGUUGGCGACAGUUAGUCUAUUGUAGGAGUAGGAUGUGCAUCA